rnacentral:lncRNA from 1 species
CCUGAAUUCACUGAGCUUGGGACCAAGGGGAGAACCAACCUCAACUUUGGUUGAGGGUGGUCUGGUGUCUUGGCUAGAUUCAGGCAGCCUUCACCCCCAUCCGAAAUGUCACCUUGAGGAAGGGACAUGAUUGGGGUGUAUCAGUGCGUAAGACCAGCAAGCACACUUGUGAUAGUUGGUCUCAGGCAAGAAGGAAGGGAUAGUGGCUGGUUCUCACCACCUGUGCCAGUCAGGUGCUGAAUAAUGGUGGCACAAUUAAACAAAUCUGGACAAGCUAGGGAGCCUGAAGCUUCUGACAGGAAACAAUCCUUGUCCUAGCACCUCACCGAGGGAUAGAAGGGGCUGGAACCAGGGGCAGGCAUCAGCAGAGGCUUGUGACAAUGCAGGGAAUGACAGAUUGUGGGUUUGGGGUCGAGGCAAAACCGUGAGUCCUGCAUCAGGUUAGGAGUAGAAUGGUGGAGGAAAGGUUGCUGUUAGCACAGCCAGGAGUAGAACUUCCAUGGGAGCAGUGGAUGGAGGUGGCUCAGGAGAGGUUAGAAACAGGCAAGUCAGCCAGGCAGUGGCGGCGCACGCCUUUAAUCCCAGCACUCGGGAGGCAGAGGCAGGCAGAUUUCUGAGUUUAAGGCCAGCCUGGUCUGCCAGGGCUAUACAGAGAAACCCUGUCUUGAAAAACCAAAAAAAAAAAAAGAAACAGGAAAGUCGGCGGUUGGGCAUCUUUGGAUCGUGGGCAUGGUGGAGGAACCUGGGGAAUCGGGAGGUCUCUACUGGGGCCACAGCAGGCUUUUAAGAGUUUUAAGUUCUUGCCCUAACCUUUAUCACUGCAUGGUAAUAGAGGAACUGGGAUCCAGCCCCAGGCAUAUGGUCAAAUUCCCCAGGUUCUUCCUACAUUCCAGUGGGAAUUUUCAUAAGAGUCAAAAAUGUUCCAGAGUUUAGGCUGGGGAAUAGUGUUACAUGACCCCAACUGACAAUUAAGAGUUGGUUUUAAUUUGCCGGGCAUGGUGGAGCACUUGGGAGACAGAGGCAGGCGGAUUUCUGAUUUCUAAGCCAGCCCGGUGUACAAAGUGAGUUCCAGGACAGCCAGGGCUAUACAGAGAAACCCUGUCUUGAAAAAAAAAGAGUUGGUUUUUAGAGGGCUUGGGAGUUACAGUAAGAAUGUCAUGUUUUGCCUUAGGGCAGGCGGGGUGACACUUCUGGAGCCCCAAGAGGCACAAUGAUAGGCAGUUAGUACCCUGGCAGGAUUUGCUUACCUGGACUGGACAGAUGUAAACCAGGACACCACAUAAGUUUCUCUCCAAUUGUAAAUGUCCCCAGCCCAUCAUUCAGUUUUCAGGCUAGGCUGAUCGGAAGUUAUAAGGGUAUCCAACACCUGUGAGACUAAGUUCCGACUUCUAAGUGGGUUGUCCAUGUGAGUUACUAUACACAGCUGGAGUUCCAGGACAUAACCCAACAGAUCAAAACUAACAUUACGGCUUCCAUCGCCUAAGAAAAGGAGUCAAAGCAGGUCAGCAAGAAAACAUUAAACUUUAGAGAGCUUAACGUGGAAGGGAGGCCAUCUGAUUAAUCUCCAUUUUUUGGUGGCCCUCUCCUUCCAGGGAUCCUCUGGUGCCUUCUUGAGAUGUGACUAGCAGCAACUUAACAGCACUGGGCAUCCAGAGAAUCCUGAUAGACGGGCAUCAUCUUGAUUCCAUGCAGUUGAGGGUCACCAGGCUGGUUGGUCAGGCAAGCAGUGCCCAGUUAACUGGGCAGCCUAGACUUGAGGAAAGAUCUUAUCCAGAGUUAAUUGGAAUCCCUUCAGGGAUUCAGAGAUUAGGGAAUCUGUUCUUAGCUCUUGAUGUUACCCGCGGGAUCACUGGGAGCGGCUAUCCAUAUAUUCACAUGGAGUGACUUUUUCACAGUAGGAAGUGCAACAGGCCCUUAGUGGGGGCAAAAGGCAAGAGGUCAACCCAGUUACUAUCAGUCUCAAGAACGGAUUUAGUUGAGUUUCUUUUAAGGUUCAAUUCAUUUUUUUCUACCUUCCCUGUACUUUGAGGACGACACAUGCUAUGUAGCCUCCAAUUUAUACUGAGGGCUUCUGAAGUCAUUUGAGACAGUUUGGUCAUGAAGACCAGGCCACUGUCAGAUCUCAAAGUUAAGGAGACGCCAAAUCCUGGGGAUGACUUCCAUCAUUAAUUUCUUAGCUACUAUCCGGGCUGUCCAGGACGGGUGUUGAUAAAGACCAGAAAGUUAUUUAUUAUAUCCAUGAGGCCUUUGCUUGAUUUCAAUAAAGUCACAUUCCCAAAAUCUAUAUCAUGUACAUACAGUACCCUUGGGGCAACAUAGCCUUUUCUGCAUUUAGGAGUGCAGGACAAGCACUUUUAAGUCAAGCACUUAAAUCUCACUUAAGUCUUGGUCAAGGACUACGUCAAAGAUAAUAGGGGAAUAGUUGAAACCUUGAAGUAACCAAGUCAAGGUCAGCCCACUCAAAUGCAAACAGGCAUUUAGCUUUGACAAAGGGAUGGGGGAAAAAAAAUGCAUCCUUUAGAUCCAGGAGAGUAGAAACCCAAAGGCCAGGCAGCAGGAAGCAGAGGAUAGGAGUUGGGGACACCGGGGCAAAUAAGUUUCCACCCACCUAUACAUUCCCCUUCAAUCCUAGACUGGUGGACAGUCUUGGUCCUAGGUUUUGAAGACUUCCAGGCUGACUCGCAUGGAAUGAGUAUGGUUGCCUAGUGCAGACAUCUAAUGUGAAUCUUGAUUCCCUGUCUGGCCUCCAUCACGGAUGAUGGAGUAUUGUCCCGCUCAGAAGUAGCUCAACUAUAACUGGCAACACAUGCUAAACCCUCCCAGGAGGAUUGUCCUUAACCCAAACCCUUAGAAACAUCUCUGGCAGGUGUUCUCUUCAUUUCUCUUUAGGAUUGGACCCUGGUGAUGGAGAAGGCACUUCCCGCUUAAGAAACAGGUGACCAACAGGAUUUUGGCUGCACCCCCUAGCUAUAAUUUAGUCUCAUCUCCUAAGAAGUUGCCCGGGACUUGCCUGGGUCUCUUCCCAGCAAAGUAAACAGGCACAGUCAGGGAGAACAAUGCAAGAACGAGUCACUGUCCUCUUCCCUGGAUUAACAGUCCACUGCAGUCUGUUUAUAGUUUUGACUUCCCCUGUUGCCCCUGCAUUUCCACUGUCUGAUUGGUGAGGGGCCCCAAGGGUUUUUGUAAAAUACCAAAUGUAAAGACGGCCCCUAGAUUGGCCCCAACUGAAAAGGUUACCAUAGGCUCCUAGGGGCCUAAUUUUAAAGAGCUAUGGCCCUACUACAUGCUCUUAAAGCUAAAACUGGCCCCAGCGGGAACAGACCUGUCUUCGAUAGGGGCAUUCAUUUUUCCAGUGCCCCAAUCUCUUGCAGUAAGCACACUGGUCUCUUCUAAGCCUCUGUGGUCUCUGGCCACGACUGAAGGAGUCACAGAAAAUCCCUGCCUCGGUCAGACACUUAAUCACUGUUUUUGCUGUCAGCACUUCAUCGCUCUCUCUAUUGUCAAACACUCUCUGGGCUAUUCUCAAUAAUUCUGACCUAGUCAUGUAUUCAAAUCCAUACUGGUUUUGGAUUGCAUUACGUAUGUCUGAGGCCGAAUUUUCAACGAAGGUUUGGUUAAUCUCCCUGAAGUUUAUUGGGUCGUCCGGAUCUAUGUGUGUGUGUUUACGGUACACCUCCAGGAGGCGCUCAAGAAACUCGAAAGGCGAUUCCUUUGGACGCUGUAUAGUACACAUCACCAUGAUGAAGUUAGUGGGCUUCCAGGCUGCCUGUCUCAUUCCUUCUAACAAAGCCUUGUGGUAAUAUCUGAGUUCCCUCCUAUCUUUCUCUGUCCUGUAGUCAUGUCUCCAUGUAGGUAGGACACAGUCAACCUCAUCUGCCCUCCACCUGCCAGUCUGUGUGCCCAUUCUGAAAAAUGCUUUCUCCGCCUCAGUCAGAAUCCGGUUCCUCUCUUCAGAGGUGAAGAAGAUGGCUAAGAUAUUCUCACAGUCAUCCAGGGAAGGAAGGUGGAUGGAGAAGAUAGACUCCAUUAGAGAGAUCAGAGAACUUGGGUUUUUGCUGAAAGAAGGGUACUGCAUCUUCCAUUUUAAGAGAGCAGUGGUCGUUAAAGGUACAUAGGCUAUACAGCUCCCGCUGGUGCUCAAAGGAGGGCUCUGGGUGUUCCGGUUAGAAAGAUCAGCAGCAGGAGACCUGGUGAGGGAGGAGGACCCAGUCUGACGACAGUUAGAAGCAUAAGGAAGUAAAUCCCAAUCGGAUGUGGGGAGGGGGAAGGGCGGGGAGUGGUCCGGCUGGUGGGGUGGGGGUGGAGGUGAGGAUUUGGGGGGUCUGGAUUUAGAUGAGGGCUGAGAUCGGGGUUUGGAUUUAGAUGAGGGCUGAGGUGAGGGCUGAGGUGAGGGCUGAGAUCGGGGUUUGGAUUUAGAUGAGGGCUGAGAUCGGG